AACCCUCACUCUACCAACUGGUUUUGUAGGGAUGAGUUAGGUCCAACCACACAUUCUUAACAUGGUAUCAGAGCCUUGUUUAAGAUCCGGUGGGCCACCUACUAUGGUUUCCAUUAUCGGGCCACCCUCCAGAUGUCCAGUCCUGGGCGUGAGGGGGUGUGUUAAGAGUCCCACAUCGGACAAUAUAUGGCCUAAACAUUGGGACAACCAACCGGUUUUGUAGGUAUGAUGAGAUAGCAAGAAAUACCAGAUACUAAACCGGUUUUGUAGGUAUGAUGAGAUAGCAAGAAAUACCAGAUACUAAACUAGUCUUUUUAAACAUAUGAGCUUAUUAGCUAUAAGCCAUAAAUUAUAAACUCAAAAACCGACACUAACAAACAGAGCCUAAGUCUGAUCAAAUAAUGAAUU
rnacentral:lncRNA from 1 species